GGAGGAGGACGAGGAAGACUAGGAGAACAAGGUGGACAAGGAAGACAAGGAUUUGUGCUCGGAAAGUCCGUCAAUGGAACGGUCUGCUGACUCCGAAGGAUCUCUACUGGAUGUGGAUGAAACUUUGGAAAGAAGUAAGGAGGUUCUAGGAUCACCAUUCUACGAAGAAAAACUGCGUCAGCUGUCAACUGGCCAAUUAACAGAGCUUCUCGGUGAAAUGGAAUCCUUGGUCGGAGCGCUCAGCGAAACUUUAAUAGCUGAAUAUUAUUAUUAUUAAUAUUAGCUUACUUUUUUCUGUGCCCCACCU
rnacentral:lncRNA from 1 species